CCCGGGAUAAGUUUAUUUUAAUAUUUCUGUGUUUGUUCAUUGUACUAAACUAAUAGAGAUGCAUUUUUUAGGGGGGUAGGAAGGGUCCGGAUCUCGAAAUCCAUGGUUUAAAAACACAGAAGUCCCAAGGUCCCGAAUUUAAAUAAAUAUAAAUCCCGACAUCCCGAAAUUCGAAAAAAGAAUUCCCAUAUCCUGAAAGGGUCAAUCCCGAAAUCCCGA
rnacentral:lncRNA from 1 species